CAGUCGCCACGGGAACACGGAGGGUGCAAGCGUUAAUCGGAAUUACUGGGCGUAAAGCGCACGCAGGCGGUCUGACAAGUUAGAUGUGAAAUCCCCGGGCUUAACCUGGGAACUGCAUUUGAAACUGUCAGGCUGGAGUCUUGUAGAGGGGGGUAGAAUUCCAGGUGUAGCGGUGAAAUGCGUAGAGAUCUGGAGGAAUACCGGUGGCGAAGGCGGCCCCCUGGACAAAGACUGACGCUCAGGUGCGAAAGCGUGGGGAGCAAACAGGAUUAGAUACCCGAGUAGUCCCUGUCUCUUAUAC
rnacentral:rRNA from 1 species